rnacentral:rRNA from 1 species
UACGUAGAGGGCUAGCGUUGUCCGGAAUCAUUGGGCGUAAAGCGCGUGUAGGCGGUCCGGUAAGUCCGCUGUGAAAGUCGGGGGCUCAACCCUCGGAUGCCGGUGGAUACUGUCGGGCUUGAGUACGGAAGAGGCGAGUGGAAUUCCUGGUGUAGCGGUGAAAUGCGCAGAUAUCAGGAGGAACACCAAUUGCGAAGGCAGCUCGCUGGGACGUUACUGACGCUGAGACGCGAAAGCGUGGGGAGCGAACAGG